UGGCUCAGUGGUUAAGAGCACUGGCUGCUCUUCCAGAGGAUCUGGGUUUGAUUCCCAG
rfam:Neotoma lepida isolate 417 scaffold_1201, whole genome shotgun sequence.